rnacentral:rRNA from 1 species
ACAUGCAAGUCGAACGAGAAAGUGGAGCAAUCCAUGAGUAAAGUGGCGCACGGGUGAGUAACACGUGACUAACCUACCCUUGAGUGGGGGAUAACUGAGGGAAACCUUAGCUAAUACCGCAUAAUACCUACGGGUCAAAGGAGCAAUUCGCUUAAGGAGGGGGUCGCGGCCGAUUAGUUAGUUGGCAGGGUAAUGGCCUACCAAGACGAUGAUCGGUAUCCGGCCUGAGAGGGCGCACGGACACACUGGAACUGAAACACGGUCCAGACUCCUACGGGAGGCAGCAGUGGGGAAUUUUGCGCAAUGGGGGAAACCCUGACGCAGCAACGCCGCGUGGAGGAUGAAGUCCUUCGGGACGUAAACUCCUUUCGAUCGGGACGAUUAUGACGGUACCGGAAGAAGAAGCCCCGGCUAACUUCGUGCCAGCAGCCGCGGUAAUACGAGGGGGGCGAGCGUUGUUCGGAAUUAUUGGGCGUAAAGGGUGCGUAGGCGGUUUGGUAAGUCUGAUGUGAAAUCUAUGGGCUCAACUCAUAGUCUGCAUCGGAAACUGCCGGGCUUGAGUAUGGGAGAGGUGAGUGGAAUUCCUGGUGUAGCGGUGAAAUGCGUAGAUAUCAGGAGGAACACCUGUGGCGAAAGCGGCUCACUGGACCAUAACUGACGCUGAUGCACGAAAGCUAGGGGAGCAAACAGGGAUUAGAUACCCCUGGUAGUCCUAGCCCCUAAA